UUUUGACAUGUAUGGGUGCAAGCUAGUCUUGUAGGUAUAAAAUUUUUGUAAUGACAAACAAAUUUUGACACCAUAAACCUUUUGUUCUACAAAAUUGUUAAUGAAUAUUUGU